AGAGCAUCCACCCUAGCACCAACUUCAGUCGCUUUCUUCCGAAUCAAGGCGGCUGAAAGCGCGUCGCCGCCGGCCGGCACGCCGCCCUCUUCAAUCUCAUCCGGAAAAUUGAGCCUUGCAGAGCGGCCGCGGAGGCAGUAGACAGCGGUGUCGUAGGCGCGGGCGGCGGCGACGGCGGUGGAGUAGGAGCCGAGCCAGAUACGGGUGCGCUUGUUGGGCUCCCGUAUCUCGGCGACCCACUUGCCCCACUUCCUCAUGCGAACGCCGCGGUAGGGGCGUUCCUUU
rnacentral:misc_RNA from 1 species